ACAACGAGUCGCCAACCCGCGAGGGUGCGCCAAUCUCUUAAAACCAUUCUCAGUUCGGAUUGCAGGCCGCAACUCGCCUGCAUGAAGUCGGAAUCGCCAGUAAUCGCGGAUCAGCACGCCGCGGUGAAUACGUUCCCGGGCCUUGUACACACCGCCCGUCACACCACGGAAGUUGGGAGUACCCAAAGUAGGUUGCCUAACCGCAAGGAGGGCGCUUCCUAAGGUAAGACCGAUGACUGGGGUGAAGUCGUAACAAGGUAAC
rnacentral:rRNA from 1 species